GCGGCGUGCUUAACACAUGCAAGUCGAACGGAAAGGCCCUGCUUUUGUGGGGUGCUCGAGUGGCGAACGGGUGAGUAACACGUGAGUAACCUGCCCUUGACUUUGGGAUAACUUCAGGAAACUGGGGCUAAUACCGGAUAGGAGCUCCUGCUGCAUGGUGGGGGUUGGAAAGUUUCGGCGGUUGGGGAUGGACUCGCGGCUUAUCAGCUUGUUGGUGGGGUAGUGGCUUACCAAGGCUUUGACGGGUAGCCGGCCUGAGAGGGUGACCGGCCACAUUGGGACUGAGAUACGGCCCAGACUCCUACGGGAGGCAGCAGUGGGGAAUAUUGCACAAUGGGCGGAAGCCUGAUGCAGCAACGCCGCGUGCGGGAUGACGGCCUUCGGGUUGUAAACCGCUUUCGCCUGUGACGAAGCGUGAGUGACGGUAAUGGGUAAAGAAGCACCGGCUAACUACGUGCCAGCAGCCGCGGUGAUACGUAGGGUGCGAGCGUUGUCCGGAUUUAUUGGGCGUAAAGGGCUCGUAGGUGGUUGAUCGCGUCGGAAGUGUAAUCUUGGGGCUUAACCCUGAGCGUGCUUUCGAUACGGGUUGACUUGAGGAAGGUAGGGGAGAAUGGAAUUCCUGGUGGAGCGGUGGAAUGCGCAGAUAUCAGGAGGAACACCAGUGGCGAAGGCGGUUCUCUGGGCCUUUCCUGACGCUGAGGAGCGAAAGCGUGGGGAGCGAACAGGCUUAGAUACCCUGGUAGUCCACGCUGUAAACGGUGGGUACUAGGUGUGGGGUCCAUUCCACGGGUUCCGUGCCGUAGCUAACGCUUUAAGUACCCCGCCUGGGGAGUACGGCCGCAAGGCUAAAACUCAAAGGAAUUGACGGGGCCCCGCACAAGCGGCGGAGCAUGCGGAUUAAUUCGAUGCAACGCGUAGAACCUUACCUGGGUUUGACAUGGAUCGGGAGUGCUCAGAGAUGGGUGUGCCUCUUUUGGGGUCGGUUCACAGGUGGUGCAUGGCUGUCGUCAGCUCGUGUCGUGAGAUGUUGGGUUAAGUCCCGCAACGAGCGCAACCCUUGUUCACUGUUGCCAGCACGUUAUGGUGGGGACUCAGUGGAGACCGCCGGGGUCAACUCGGAGGAAGGUGGGGAUGACGUCAAGUCAUCAUGCCCCUUAUGUCCAGGGCUUCACGCAUGCUACAAUGGCUGGUACAGAGAGUGGCGAGCCUGUGAGGGUGAGCGAAUCUCGGAAAGCCGGUCUCAGUUCGGAUUGGGGUCUGCAACUCGACCUCAUGAAGUCGGAGUCGCUAGUAAUCGCAGAUCAGCAACGCUGCGGUGAAUACGUUCCCGGGGCUUGUACACACCGCCCGUCAAGUCAUGAAAGUUGGUAACACCCGAAGCCGGUGGCCUAACCGUUGUGGGGGAGCCGUCGAAGGUGGGACUGGUGAUUAGGACUAAG
rnacentral:rRNA from 1 species